rnacentral:rRNA from 1 species
AGGGAAUAUUGCGCAAUGGACGGAAGUCUGACGCAGCGACGCCGCGUGAGCGAUGAAGGCCUUCGGGUUGUAAAGCUCUGUCCUUGGGGAAGAAGGUCUUCGGACUUGACGGUACCCAAGAAGAAAGCCCCGGCUAACUACGUGCCAGCAGCCGCGGUAAUACGUAGGGGGCGAGCGUUGUCCGGAAUUACUGGGCGUAAAGGGUGCGUAGGCGGCCCUUUAAGUCAGAUGUGAAAGCCCGCAGCUUAACUGCGGAAUUGCAUUUGAAGCUGGAGGGCUUGAGUGUCGGAGAGGGUAGUGGAAUUCCCAGUGUAGCGGUGAAAUGCGUAGAUAUUGGGAGGAACACCAGUGGCGAAGGCGACUGCCUGGACGAUAACUGACGCUGAGGCGCGAGAGCGUGGGGAGCAAAC